CCAGUUUACAAAUAUUUAAAAAAAAUAUUGUCAAAAGUAUUAUAGCUCUUAAAAUAAAGGAUAUAUUCCAAUAUUUCUCCUAUAAAUUUUUUUUAUCGAUUUUUUUAAUACUUUGUAAUUGAUUGACAACUUCCGUCAACAUCGGAAGAAAACACAGAAGAUGGAGGCCGGAGGGGCAGUGCAGUGAGAAGAUUCUGCCUUACUUAACAUUAAGUCAUUCUUAGGAGAACUUCUUAGUAGAUAAUAAGCAGGCUGACUCUUUAUAAAUUGGGAAGAGGAAGGAGUCGGAACUGUACAUUCUGGAGGGAGUGGCUUGUGCUGAGUUUUAUUUUUUAAGGAAACUUCCUUUCAACAUGUUCAACAACAGAAAAUUUGUGAAUUAACACACUGUAGAGUGCCAAAAUCUGUUGCAACAGAAUUAUAGUUGCAGAUUAAUCUAAUAGAUCUGCCUGUGAUGACCAUGAUUGGAACUAUAUCUUGUUUAGUAAAUGGACUUAAAUAAUGAUCAACUCCAAAAAGUACCAAAAACUGUUACAACAGAAUUGCUACAGUAUAGAUGCCUGUGAUGACCAUGAUCGAGACUAAUAUUUUUGAUGAAGUGUUAAAGUGUAUACACAGACACAAACAUGGGCAUAGUUAAUUUGUUUUGUAUUAUAUAAUGUCCAUGAUGGUUUGAUUUCAUUGUCAUGUCAUAUAUUAUGAUUAUAGUUUAAAUAAUUUA